rnacentral:rRNA from 1 species
AACUGCCCGAUGGAGGGGGAUAACUNCUGNAAACGGUAGCUAAUACCGCAUAACGUCUACGGACCANAGUGGGGGACCUUCGGGCCUCACACCAUCGGAUGUGCCCAGAUGGGAUUAGCUAGUAGGUGGGGUAAUGGCUCACCUAGGCGACGAUCCCUAGCUGGUCUGAGAGGAUGACCAGCCACACUGGAACUGAGACACGGUCCAGACUCCUACGGGAGGCAGCAGUGGGGAAUAUUGCACAAUGGGCGCAAGCCUGAUGCAGCCAUGCCGCGUGUAUGAAGAAGGCCUUCGGGUUGUAAAGUACUUUCAGUGGGGAGGAAGGCGAUGAAGUUAAUAGCUUCGUCGAUUGACGUUACCCGCANAAGAAGCACCGGCUAACUCCGUGCCAGCAGCCGCGGUAAUACGGAGGGUGCAAGCGUUAAUCGGAAUUACUGGGCGUAAAGCGCACGCAGGCGGUCUGUCAAGUCGGAUGUGAAAUCCCCGGGCUCNACCUGNNAACUGCAUUCGAAACUGGCAGACUANAGUCUUGUANAGGGGGGUAGAAUUCCAGGUGUANCGNUGAAAUGCGUANAGAUCUGGAGGAAUACNGGUGGCGA